rnacentral:lncRNA from 1 species
CUAAAUAAGGAAAGUGCCAAAUAAGGAAAGUGCCAAAUAAGGAAAGUGCAGUCAACAGAGCAGUUUCAAAUUCAAGAUCUUCAAGAAUCAUUUUCCUUAUUUGAGAAGCCAAAUCUUCAAGAUUCACAUUCAGAUUUUGAAAUUCAAAUUCAGCUUGUCAAAGAAGCCAAAGAAGUCACACAUGCCACACAUGCCUUGCACAUUCAAAAUUUGAAAUUCAAAAGAGAGGCUCCACCUCAUUAAUGUGCAAAAUAUGGGCAGCA